GUUAAUAGCACAAAUAGUCCGCAAAACUAAAAGGUUUCCCUUUUAGAAAAAAUUAAAAUUUUAAAAUUCAUAUACCCGCAUAAGAAUCCAGCGCUUGAAUUAAAAUGAGUGAGGCCACGAAUCUGUUCACCACCUUUGGCAUUUUGGCCAUUUUACUGUUCUUCCUUUGGAUCAUCUAUGCAGUGUUGUAAAUAACACUGACUCCAGGCUGGGGCAUAGAGCAAAGCAAACAACAACAACAACAACAACAACAGCAACAAUAACAAAAUGAAUGAAGCCAGAAGUUUGUUUACCACCUUCUUAAUCCUGGCCUUCUUGCUCUUCUUGCUCUAUGCCUUCUACGAAGCCGCCUUCUAAAUUAAUUAUGAUUCGAAUCUACUAGUUCAAGGAUAUAUGCUUACAUGUUGAAUUUUGAAUUCCAACAACAACAUUUUCAAAUAUGAUACAAAUAAAAAACAAAUUUACUUACCGACUAGGAUUAAGUCGCUAGCAUUUAAUGGAUUUCUAUUAGUACCCUAAGUCAGAUGACGUCAAAGCUGCAGGCCAUAAGAGCAGCUGCCCGGUUCCAUUUGGGGGCUCUGCGAUUGCCAGAGGAAAUGUGUGUUCCGUCAUUCGUGCAAUCCAAUUGGAACGUUUGGGACACUCACAACUUUUAUAGCCUGCUAGGCCUUGGCGUCAUCUGCUCUAAUCAUAAAUAUUAACAGGCAACAAUUUUGUUUCUCAAUGGAAUUUAUUCAAUUAAUUAUUAAUUGACCAUAAUGUACAGUAUAAGUGUGUAUAACAACAACAACAACAACAACAACAGCAGCAGCAACACGAACAAGCAACAAGCAACAACAACCAGCUCAUGGCGCACAUAGGAAAAUUACGAAUUUCAUUGUUUAACACUUUGCACAUAAUAUGUAAGAUCUUUAUUUAAUUCGAUUUGCAUUUUUUCGUAAAUAACAACAAGACCAACAGCUGCACAAGCAACAAAAUGCAACAACAA